rnacentral:misc_RNA from 1 species
UUUCCGUAGGUGAACCUGCGGAAGGAUCAUUAAAAGUAAUCAGUACUCUGUACUAAUUAUAAACCCAUCUGUGUAUCUUACCUGUUGCUUCCGUGGGGUGCGGUGGCUCCGGCCGCCGCUUGACCCACGGGAGGUCUACACCAAACCAUUGCAUUGCCAUGAUCUCGGUCUGAAAUGAAAACAACAAAAGUUAAAACUUUCAACAACGGAUCUCUUGGUUCUC